rnacentral:rRNA from 1 species
UAUGGCCACAUCACAUUGAAACAUCAGUUCUUGUACAAUCACCAAAGUUAAGCAACAUAGAGCCUAGUCAGUACCAAGAUGGGUGACAACUUGGGAAUACCAGCUGCUGUAA